CAGGGCACAUCCUUGUGUGUGUGUGUUGGCGGCGGUGGGAGGAGGGUUUCUGUUUUCUUUGCGGGGAGGCAAGUGCCAGUUGCUCAAGAGUGCUGCAAUCACUUAAGGUGAUUCCCCUUUGUAUGUACCAGGCUUGUUUCUGAUCCCUAUCAGUUUUACAACCUAUUCAUUAGGCAGGUUUUCACUGGCUCCAGAGUCUGUCCAAUUUGUAAACAUUAGGGUGUCUAAUGUCUAAACCAGGUGUUGUCUCCUGAACGUGUUGGGAGUUGGGGAGGCAGAAGACCACUGGAAUCUGUUACUGGAGGAAUCAAUUAAUGUUUUCUAAUUCUACUCAGUAAUAAAUAUCCUUUGUGAUGGAUGAGGCCGUUGGGGGUUGUCUCAGCAAUAUUUAUUCUAAUGAAUAAAUAUGAAACUGUGUGUUAUAGGUAGACAAUAUUAAAUCAGUUCUCAGCUCUGCAUUCUGUUUUCUCAAGAACAAAUAUUGACUAAAAGCAGAAAAUAAACACAUGAAUAAAAUGUAAUAGUAUAAAGGAGGAUUGCAGCGGGUAGGAACUGUCCACCAGGUGGCAGAGCAUCUCUGUUGCUGCACUUAGGGACUUUUUGGUUGACUUCUGAAAGGGCCUCUGCAGUCAACAGCCAUCUGUGCAGACAACUGAAGAACUUGCAGUGAGUGCUGUGGAGGACAGAGGAGGAGAGCUGAUCACAGAAGCAUCUGGCCUGGUGAAAACCACAGUCCCUAGGGAGAGCUAUGAAGACACUGACUGGACCUUUUGUCCUGUGCUUGUGGCUGCAGCUGAACUGUGUGAGCAGAGGAGAGCAGCUGGAACAGCAGCCUUCUCUCCUGAGUGUCCAGGAGGGAGACAGCGCCGUUAUCAACUGCACCUACACAGACACUAAUUAUUACUUCUACUGGUACAAGCAGGAGCCUGGGGCAGGUCUCCAGCUCCUUAUAAAUGUUCCUUCAAGUGUGGACAGAAAAGAGGAACAAGGACUUGUGGUCCUACUAAAUAAGAAGAACAAACAACUCUCCCUGAACUUCACAGUUGCCCAUCCUGAGGACUCAGCCACGUACUUCUGUGCAGCAAGUGCACAGUGCUCCCCAGGCAUCCGCUGCCUGUGCAUAAAACUAGACCAGGGCUGGAGACAGACAUAUUUUCCAUUGUUGAGAUGA